GCAGUUUGUGUUCAUUUACAGCAAAUCAUUUUAAUUCUUUAAGAUGGGACUAAACAGAGUCUUGAUUUACUUUGCUCUAACAAUGUUCAUUCAAUAUUGUUGCAGUCAGACACUGAUUGAGUCUGAUCCCGUGAUCAUCAAACCUGGUCAGUCUCAUAAACUGACCUGCACAGCAUCUGGAUUUGACUUUGGUAGCUCUUGGAUGGCUUGGAUCAGACAGGCUCCUGGAAAAGGACUGGAAUUUGUUGCAACUAUUGAGUAUGAUAGUGAUAGGAAGUUUUACUCGAGUGCAGUUAAUGGCCGCUUCACCGCCUCCAGAGACAACAGUAAGAUGCAGGUGUAUCUGCACAUGAGCAGCGUGAAGACAGAAGACACGGCAGUGUAUUACUGCGCCAGACACACACAGUGA